GCAGGUGCCGGGGGGCAGAAUGUCUCCUUAGCUCUUCUCUUGUUGGCUGGAUGAGGGGCGACUUUCCCUAAUUCCUCUGGAAGGGCUCGCAGGCAGCUCCCAGGUGGGAGUGGGGCAGCUGUCAAGCGCUAAGAAAGCGGGCUGCUGCCUGUUGUUUCCCUGCCGGGAUAAGGAGCUGCCAAGUGCAGAGGAGAGGCAAGCCAGCAUCAGAGCUAGCGAGCAGCUACAGAUCAUGCUCUGCUGAUUCUCAGAGAAGAAAAAAAGCUCUCUGUGGGACUCCAGAGG